GUGGGGAAUCUUGCGCAAUGGGCGAAAGCCUGACGCAGCCAUGCCGCGUGAAUGAUGAAGGUCUUAGGAUUGUAAAAUUCUUUCACCGGGGACGAUAAUGACGGUACCCGGAGAAGAAGCUCCGGCUAACUUCGUGCCAGCAGCCGCGGUAAUACGAAGGGGGCUAGCGUUGCUCGGAAUUACUGGGCGUAAAGGGCGCGUAGGCGGACAUUUAAGUCAGGGGUGAAAUCCCGGGGCUCAACCUCGGAACUGCCUUUGAUACUGGGUGUCUUGAGUAUGAGAGAGGGGGGUGGAACUCCGAGUGUAGAGGUGAAAUUCGUAGAUAUUCGGAAGAACACCAGUGGCGAAGGCGACACACUGGCUCAUUACUGACGCUGAGGCGCGAAAGCGUGGGGAGCAAACAGGAUUAGAAACCCUGGUAGUCC
rnacentral:rRNA from 1 species